AGAGUUUGAUACUGGCUCAGAGUGAACGCUGGCGGCGUGCCUAAUACAUGCAAGUCGAACGAUGAAGCUCUAGCUUGCUAGAGUGGAUUAGUGGCGCACGGGUGAGUAAUGCAUAGAUAACAUGCCCUUUAGUCUAGGAUAGCCAUUGGAAACGAUGAUUAAUACUGGAUACUCCUUACGAGGGAAAGUUUUUCGCUAAAGGAUUGGUCUAUGUCCUAUCAGCUUGUUGGUGAGGUAAUGGCUCACCAAGGCUAUGACGGGUAUCCGGCCUGAGAGGGUGAACGGACACACUGGAACUGAGACACGGUCCAGACUCCUACGGGAGGCAGCAGUAGGGAAUAUUGCUCAAUGGGGGAAACCCUGAAGCAGCAACGCCGCGUGGAGGAUGAAGGUUUUCGGAUUGUAAACUCCUUUUGUUAGAGAAGAUAAUGACGGUAUCUAACGAAUAAGCACCGGCUAACUCCGUGCCAGCAGCCGCGGU
rnacentral:rRNA from 1 species